GAAAAAUCCGCCAGAAACUGCAAAAAAAAUCACCAAAUAACUACCCUUAUCCAACCGCGUAAUUUAAAACACAUAACUAACCAACCCCGUUCAUGGCUUCUCUUCAUCAAUUUCAACAUUCGUGUCUUUCUUCUCUUAUCCAAAAACCCACUACUCUCUUCCCCUCCAAACCUUCUCCAUUCAAAACCUCUUUGUCUCUUAAUCCCUCAAAUGCUGAAUCUGCAAAGCCCACUUCACAAAACCCUCCGGGAACCACGCCAGAACCCGAACCUGGACCUGUGGAUCCUGUAAAGCUGGCUUUUGAGAAAGCUAAAGCGUAUAAGAAAUCGAUUCGAGACACCAAGAAAACGAAACUCCAGAAAAACCCAAUUGAGGGUUCUGGUAGUACUUCAAUUGGGAAUGAUGGGGAAGAAAAAGAAGUGCCCGUCUCGGUUAAGGUUGCUAUGGAGAAAGCUAAGGAGUACAAGAAAAGUAAAGAGGUUGGCGGUGGUGGUGGUGGAGGUGUGAAGGGUGCUUCAGAAAGUGAAACAAAUUCAGGACUGAAGGGAGAGAAUGGGGGGAAUUUAGAAAGAGGCUUGGUGGAGAAAGGUACCAUUAAGGAAAAAAAACUGUCAAUUUCAAGCGUGGAUUUCAUUGGACUCAACUUUGAAGACAAGAAAAGGGGCAGGGGACUGCCACCUGGAUUGGCUCCAGUAAUAGACCCUUUUCCAGAAGGGGACUUGCCUGAGGUGGAGAUAAUUGUUGGAGACACCAGCAAGCUUGGGGACCCAACAACAUCAGUCCCUCAGUCUAGCCAAGAAGAUAAUUUGGAUCUUUACAAGCCGAAAGUUUCAACAUGGGGUGUCUUUCCUAGACCUGGAGACAUUUCCAAGACUUUUGGUGGUGGAAGAACUAUUCGCCCUGGAGAUAUGCUUGAAACAGCAGAAGAACGAGCUGCUAAAGACAAACACACAAAGCAAUUGCUUGCAGCCUAUAGGAAGAAAAUUGGUUUAAAUGUUGAUCCAAAGCUUAAAUCUGAGUGUGAGAAGGCCUUGAAGGAUGGUGACUCCUUCAUGGAUUCUGGAAAGCUUAAUGAAGCACUGUCAUAUUAUCAGAAGGUUAUGGAUAAGUUGCCAUUUCAGGUAAUUUUACUUAAAUUGUGAAUUGCAACUAUUUGAGUAAUUUGUACUGGCUCCUAUAUGUUAAUUGCACCGCCAUUCAGGCUUAAUUUGAGAAUUUAAGUUCAAUGACUUGAUUGUCAUAUGUUAAUGAGGUUUAGAAUGAUCUCCGACAAGCUUUUAAAUAAGGGAAAAUGAGGUUCUGGAUACCUCUUGUUCCAGAUAAGGGUUCUGUGGUUUUACUUGUUUGAGAUUUGAAUUCAUAUAAUACUUGUUUCUGCAGAGUGAACUUCAUGGAUUGGCUGCUUUGCAAUGGUCUAUCUGUUAUGAUUCACUUAAUAGGUACUCUAAUUUACAAUAAUUGCUGGAUCCCUAAUGAAUUGGAUAGUCUAUUGAAAGUGCAGUGCUCAUUCCAUUUUACAUUGAACUUCAAAACAGUUACUUGUUAGUAAAUUUGACUAUUCUUUUGGUUGUCUGCAUCUAGGCAUCCGAGAAAACUAUGGCGUUCAUUCUUAUGAAUGUGUGGUUUUAACUGAAAUGAGUGUCAUUACAAGUUACAGAAUCCUGACUCAACAAAACCACCAUGGAGUGUAGUUGGGAUGGCAGGCAUAUUUAGACCUGGAUGGGGUUGCUUUCUCUAGUUAUUCAGCUUUUCAGGCAAAUAAGUUGAUAUAAUAAAAUUCUGAAACAUUACUAGAUUGCAGUGUUGAAAUGUGCAUUUUGGUGCCUUUUAAUUGCCCGAUGAAAAUUUAAUGUAUUUCUUCCUUGCUACUAUAUCGUAGUAAAAAGUCACAAUGAUUGACAGGCCAAAUGAGGCUCGGGCAAUGUAUGAGAAACUUCAGUCUCAUCCAAAUGCUAAAGUGAGCAAGAAAGCACGACAAUUUCUGUUCAGUUUCCAGGUAACUGAGAAUGGACUGGAGAAAUUUUAGUCUGUAACAUGUAUGCUUCGCAAUUGGAGAAAAGAUAAUAAAUUAAACCAACAGAUCUAGUGUUGUAAACAACUGCAAGGCCCAAGGGCCAAGAAUAAAGUAGGCAAAAUUGCAGUGCUGGCUGCUGGGUUUAGGCCCAAGUGUGCAGUUUCUCAACUUAAAAUUUUGACUACCAUAUUUGAGGUAUUAUCAUAAAUAUGCUAAUUUAUCUUUUGUCAGUUUAGUCCCUGUAUCCAUUUCGAUUGAUUAUUAAAAAGAACUUUCUUUAUGGUAGGCCAUGGACAUGAUGAAGGUUAGUGGCUCAAACUUCUUACCAAAAAGCACAGGCUACCAGAACUAUUUUGAGGCAUUCAUUGAAGAUAAAAGCAACUACCCUCUAGGAGUGGCUGGAAGUGAAGAUGAUGCUCUUGCUCAAACCCUCCCAUAUGUGUUUCUUCUUGCUUCUCCCAUUUUUAUUGUACUGUUCAUUGCUGUACAGGGAGCGAAUACAAAUUAGAACUUUGCAAGGAUGUAAUUAACAAUCUCUUUCUUGGAAAGGAGAUUCCUUUUUUAAGUGGUACAUUUGUUCAGUGAUAAAAUAGCUCCUCUAUGACAUAAAUCAAUGCCUUGCUCAGAAUUGCAGCAUCUGAAUACAUGAUUGCAUUUCAUGAGAGCUGUAAUUGGUAGCGGUGACAAAGAUGCACAUGAUCUGGCAUGACACGAAGGAACAUUUUGGUGGGUCCAGCGUAAGCCCACUUGAAGAAAAUGUCCAUCAACCUGAGGGCCAAGUCUGUUGAGUUGAUCCACCCUCAUCAAAGCCCAGAUUCCAACAAAUUCUACUAAGAAACUGGCUUAAACCUUCAUAAUGAUCGGAAUUAAGGAUGCUAGGGAGUUAUUAUUUAUUGUUAUUCUUUACUGUGGUCACAGUUUUUGGGAGUGCAUUUGUCAUGCACAGCUGCGGGCGUGGUCAAAAGUCCUUUUAUAUAGAUACAUGUCCUUCUUUUAUAUAUAUAUAUAUAUUUGAAAUUUAGAUCUGUCCGAAUAUGAUAUUUUGUUACAUGGAGGGCUUAAUUAUAAGCAAUUCUAUAAAUAGUUAAUACGGGAAAGGCCUCAGAAUCCAGAUCAUCAAAAGCGGGAGAUA
rnacentral:misc_RNA from 1 species